rnacentral:rRNA from 1 species
UAACGCGUGAGCAACCUGCCUUGAAGUGGGGACAACAGUUGGAAACGACUGCUAAUACCGCAUAAUAUAUCUGAGUCGCAUGGCUUGGAUAUCAAAGAUUUAUCGCUUCAAGAUGGGCUCGCGUCUGAUUAGGUAGUUGGCGGGGUAACGGCCCACCAAGCCGACGAUCAGUAGCCGGACUGAGAGGUUGAACGGCCACAUUGGGACUGAGAUACGGCCCAGACUCCUACGGGAGGCAGCAG